AGCCGUCUCCUCUCUCUUUACCUCACUCUUCGCGGCAGUGCUCGCCUCUCUGUCCACACACGCCCGUGCAUCUUCGACCCCCUCGCCCCGCUCCCGUCCGCCCAACGCACCAAGCAAUGGAGUAUACGGUCUCUCUUUUGCUCAUUGUCUUCUCGCUCCGCGAUUGAAAUGUGCCGAGCAGGUGUAAUAGUCAACCCCCCUCUCCACACACACGCGCACGUGUAUACCCUCCCUCCCUCCCUCUCACCCUCUUACUAUUGGCGUAGUUCUGCGGGGAGUUUCCGAUACAUCUGUGCCGCUGUGCAGAGUCCUUUUACACUUGGUAACGUGUCUGAUUAGCACACACACACACACGCACACACACGCACACACACGCACAUCACAUUCAAGCACACAUACACACACGCUCCGCAAGCUCAUUUACAGUAUUCGUAGAUCGACGAAUCCACUCAUCUCACAAGUGUGUGUGCUCUUUGCCUUCACCGUUUCCGUUUUGUUACCCCCGAAACACCACUUACACCAUCACGGCUACUCCCAACUCACAAACGAACCCCCCUCCCCGACACACGGAGCGGCACACACACACACACACACACGUACGCACGUACACAUACAGGCAUCCGUUUUUUUGCGGUGUGCUGCCUUUUUCCAUCCCUUUUUUCCCCUGCCCCACCCUGCUGACUGCGCGCCGAGACUUUUUUAUCGCUCGUUCUUCGCAUUCAUUUGCUUGUGCCUCGUGUCCUUCUCUCUGCGCGCACUGCCCAGAUCGUGAGCUUUUUGGGUGAGGAUACGUGUGCUUCCUCUGCUGCUUCUGCUUGCUCCCCAUCUCUUCCUCCGCUGCCGCUCGUUGCAUCUUCCAUUCGCACCCGACGGGGCUUCGACGAGAUCCAGUUGUCUUCUCUUUGAGAAGUGGUUCGUACUCUCUCGUCUCUGAGCGGACCUCGGUGUGCGGCACUGCACGAGUGAAGAGCCGCUGCACUCGCCCGGUCUCUGUUUUCGUCCCUCUAUCCUUUCCUGCCGCUUUUCCCUUUUCCGUUUGUGCGCGAAGUUCAUGAUCGGCGAGUCAUGCGACAGCGCACGGUAUCGCGGUCCCGCGCGCGCAGUCAGAUCCGCAUCUCUGCCGCAGAGGAGGAUGAUCUGCGGGUAGGCUUGCAAAGGUUUCUGGACAAGCUACGCCAGCACCAGCCUCUCUUCACCGAGGAUGAUGUGACGGCCAUUUCCUUCCCCCCAGAGGGCAGCAGCAGCAGCAGCUGUGUCGGUGGCGGCUCACCUCACUCGUCCGCCUCCACGUCGCCGCGGCACUCGCCGUCUCGCGCCGACAACGAGGAGGCGACGCUGGAUGGCACCUUCAAGGGCGGCGGCUCCUCUCCGUCGAUGGCCAAGUGCAGAAAGGUUCCCGCCGCAUCUCCCAGCACAACGGGUUCACCGACCUUCGCCUCUGCCAGCGUCAUCGAUCUAGACGUGCCGCUCUCUGCGCCUCUGUUCCUCACAGCCGUGAACAUCUUCGAGGCAAAGUUACUCUCAAAGAGCAAGCGGGUGUCCACCGACGCGCUCAAACUUGUCCGACAAGCCUACGCCCUCGUGUGGAGAGAUCCAGGCUACCUGGCGACGCUCAUGAACGGAGAUCCAUGCUUGGCGGGCUCAAGCAGCACCGGCUCCUCCACAACACCACCAGAUGGUUGGAGCCGUAGACCCAGCUCUGUGCCUCUAGCCAGCUCCCUUAGUAAGCCCCACUUGACGUGCCAAGCCCUGUUCUCCGCCUCCGCGCCCGCGCCGACACAGCGACCGGACAGGCGGCUGGCGCUGCAGCUGGACGAGUGCAUUCGAACACUGCUCGUGUACGCGAAUACGUCGGUGAAUCUUUGCCAGAGUGUCUCCACCAACACGCGUACACUUCUACUGCUCGCCUUUGUUACCUGCGCCGCGCGGCGUCUGGAGGAGGAGGACGACGUGCCGUACGGUGACGGCCCCGGCUCAGUCGCGGACAUCGUAGUCGGUAACCGAAACCUGCACGCCGAGAUGAAAAAGCUGGAGAGCUUGUGGCGCAGUUGCGGCAUCGAAGGACGCGUCGCAGACUACCUGCGCGAAUGCUACCUGGUCGAGUUCCUGUUAGACGCUGCGCUGCCGCCGGCGGUGUGCUCGGCGCGCUACGACGGCCUGCAGAUGGCUGUGCACGAGAAGAAGCAGCGUAUCAUUUCGGAUGUUGUGGCGAGCCGCGCUGGCUUCGCGAGCAUGAUGCGAAUGGCACCGCUGCGAGGCUUGUGCGGUCUGGCAAACAUGUCCGCGUUUGGAAAUUCGAAGUUGCGGGCGAGGUUACUGGACAAGAUGGCGUCAGAGGGGGUCGUGGAGCGGCUGGCGGCGGAAAUGGCUGCAGCGAUGGAAGCCGUUCUCGCGCCCGACACCGCCACCACGACACCGGCACACAGCUCGACAAAGCGACCGCGCCAGAGCGCAGUGUACGGUGGCUCACCCGCGCACCAGCGAUCCCGCGCCGGCGCGUCCAGAUCGGCGAGCCGUCAAGGAUCGCUCGAUUCUGUCUCGCCUGCCGGCAAGGAGCGCCGCGCGAUGACGAUCGCGAGGGCUUCCACAUCCUUGGAGCGACUGUUGGACAGCGACCCUACCCCGGUGGAGCGCAUUGGUCAGUGUGUAGAUAUAUUGAUGCUGCUCACAUGCCCGGAUUUGCGGCCGCCGGACGGCGGAGAAGAGUCUCCGUCUCGUUCGUCGACUUCGUCUGCAUCGGCGGUAGUGCGUUCCACCACGUGGGCCUCCCGUGACGCUGCGCUGCAUGAGAUAUGCUUGUAUCUCUUGGCUAUCUGCUUCGUCUCAAAGACCCAUGCGCGAUACGCGGAGUUGUCGUCGUUGCAGCUCUACGCGGCGGAUUGCAUGCUGCAGUGCGCAGCAUACAGCGGUGCCUUUUACGCCAUGGUGGUGCACGCCAUGGAUGUGUUAAUUGAUAUGAUAGAGUCCAUGUCCGCCGCUCCAGUCGCCAGCGCCCAAAGGACGCCGCUUUCGUCGGGAAGGGCGUCAUGCUCUCGCCUUGUGUCGCCUCAAAAGAAUUGGAGAAAGGAUGCCGAGGAGGGAGACCGGCUUGACAGCGAACGCGGCCGCCGCGUGCUGCAGCAUCUCCUACCCGGAGAUGAAGCCGGUCUGCUGCCGUUGCUAACAAAUCUGCUGCAGUACACGAUUCACGCCCAGGCAAAUGCCAAGUCAAUACGCCGAUGGUUCGGCUUCCUAGCGGAUCGGUUGCUGCCGGAGGUCUUCGAGGCCCCACAGCUCACGACUGGGCGGCGUAGCAGCGCUACAUGGGGACUUCAGCAGCAACAGGAGCAGCGGCGGCGCUCGCAAGCGGACAGCCGAGCUUCCCGGCUGCCUGGAGCACUGGGGAACGGUUCACCGGCUGCCGCGGACGGCGCUUUUGAUGCGCCGGUACUUGCUCGAGACCUGACGCGAGCGGAGGUUGUGGCGGCUGCCCCGUACUUCUGCUUUGCGCGGCGAGCUGUGGAGGAGACGAGCUGGCGCGAUGGGACGGAGUUGCUCUUUGCCAAAGUGGUGCUCUUGGCCUUCCACGUCAUUGUGACACAGGGGCACCGGUGCAAUCUGCUGUUUGGGCAGGCGUGCGCCUGCUACGACGUCGUGGCCCCUGUGCUGCUUCUGCGGUCCUCGCAGAGCGACAACGGCGCCAGUCCCGGAAGCCGAUCCCCGCGCAGCAGCCGGCGCUCGUCCCAAAGCAGCACGAGCGCCACGUAUCGGCGCAGCACCCUCCUUAUGCAUCUAAGGGAGGAUGAGAGGGCAUCGACGCAGGCACCACUGCACUCCAACGAAGAGGCAAGCGAGGACGGCGGUGUGGCGGGGUCGGAGGAGAGAGAAACCAAGGGGGCAGACGAGGAGAAGGAGGUAUUCAUUGGCUCGACUAUCAGGCGGCGCUCGCUGUCCACUCGCCAGCGUCAGCGCGGCAGCGCGGUGAAAGGGAGCGCUGCUUCGGCUGAGCGACAUUUAUUGGCGACAAAGGCUGGCGAGGACGAUCAGGGUUUUUCUCCCUUCAUACAGAGCCCCAGCCGCUCCCUCGUCUUCUACGAGGCUUGCUCACCAAGCGACACUGAGGCGAGCAGCGACAGUCCUCUGGACAGAAGAGGUAGCCGCCGGCGACGCAGCUCAUCGAGUGACCGACGGAGUUCUGACGGCGGGAGAAGCCUCGGGGCUGCGUUAGACGAGGCAGCCUUCGCCGCACCCACCGCAAGCGCCACCUUGGCAGAGUCCCCGGAGGCGGUGACACACUCCUGGACUGGCCGCUUGUCGCUGCGCUCCUUGCUCUCCUCGAUCGGCGGUCACAGCGAAGCGCCGCUGCUGGACAAGGAAAAGCGCGCAUAGUAGAAUUGUGAGUGCCGCAGCCGGGACGCGUACUUGUGUGCGUGCAGCACCGUUUUUGUGUGUGGCUUCCUUUCUCCUUCCAGGGCAGUUCAUCUGCUGCACACGAGCGCAUGCAUCGAAUCUGGUCUUGACUCCUUCCCUGCCUCCGCCCAUGCUCACUUGCUGUCUCUUCCUCUCCGUGGGACUAGCGCGGCGCCUCCCUCUUUUUCACGUGUGUGUGGGGGGGGGAGGAGGAGGAGGCGUGUGCGGGACGCACCUUCGUUUCUCUCUCACAUAAAUUUGUUCUUUUACCUCCGUUUUCGUACUUGCUCUCACACAUUACUCUGACGUCAGCCAAGCUUCUGCUUGCAGUUUGUGUGCGGGUGGUGGUGGGAAGAAGGCUUAGAUACGGGUCUCCACGGGGGGCACAUGCGAACAC
rnacentral:misc_RNA from 1 species